UGAUCAGGUCUAUCAGGUCUA
ensembl:piRNA 21ur-5253 ncRNA